CCCUGGGGACGUAAACUCCUUUCGACCCGGACGAUAAUGACGGUACGGGUGGAAGAAGCCCCGGCUAACUACGUGCCAGCAGCCGCGGUAAUACGUAGGGGGCGAGCGUUGUCCGGAGUUACUGGGCGUAAAGGGCACGCAGGCGGUCGUACGCGUUUCGGGUGACAGCGGGUGGCUUAACUGCCCGAGUGUUCGAAAGACGGUACGACUUGAGGGCUCGAGAGGGACACGGAAUUCCGGGUGGAGUGGUGAAAUGCGUAGAGAUCCGGAGGAACACCGAAGGCGAAGGCAGUGUCCUGGCGAGUGACUGACGCUGAGGUGCGAAAGCUAGGGGAGCGAACGGGAUUAGAUACCCCGGUAGUCCUAGCCGUAAACCAUCAGGACUUGGGGUGGCCCGCGUAGGCGGGUCGUCCCGUAGCUAACGCGUUAAGUCCUGCGCCUGGGGAGUACGGUCGCAAGACUGAAACUCAAAGGAAUUGACG
rnacentral:rRNA from 1 species